rnacentral:lncRNA from 1 species
CGCGUCUGGACUGUGCGCACGCGGAGCGCGCGGAAGCCGGGCGGGGAGGGAGGGGCGCCCGCCCGCCGGUCCCCUUCCCGGGACUGGCAGGCCCCGCCUUUCAUCUUUUCAUCGUUUGGAGCCCCUUUCCCGGAAAUCCCGAUGUCUGCUGCACACGGGUCUCUACCGGUUAGGGAUUAAGAGUGAGUCGGCAGGAGUCAAACAGAAGCAUCUCUGGAAUGCCUCCUGAGCCAGGCAUCACGACAGGUGGAGCUCCCAAGACACAGUCUCUGCCCAUCAGAGUUCAUCCUGCGUGGAAGACACACGCUGACAGGCAGAGGCCAGUUCCCAGCCAGCUGUGCGGGGGCUCAGGGGCCACGGCGUGGGGAGCCCGAGAGCUGAUGGAACGGUAACAUUUUGGACCCCGGUCCACAGACUACAUUUUGAGAAGUCUUCCCUAAUGUGCUUACUUUGAAUUCUGACCCAGUGAAGUUGCCAAACAAAUCACUACCAGAAUUCUCUCAUCCUUGACAUUUGUGAGGGUCCGCAUAAACAAUAUACAGGAACCAGCACAGGAAAAAGGAGCUUGGUGAUGUAAUCAAACGAAACGUUAACAAAUUAUUCUCUGCAGAUGGCGACACCAGCGCUUGAAGCUCAGCUUGUCACUUCCUAGCUGUGUGAGCCUGGGCAAGUUAGUUAAUAUCUCCAGGCCACCAUUUCCCCCUGUGAAAUGGGAAUACCACCCUCUUCAUAAGGCUCUUGUGAGGAUUAGAGUAAAUAAUUCCUUUCGAAAGUGCCUGCCCCACAGUGGCACCCAAUACAUAUCCUCAGCUUAGCUCACUCUCUAAUUCCUCUGUCAAAGGACUCCGCCCCAGGUCCCUAAGGACCCCAGAGCAUCUUUCCUUCUUCUCAGUCUCUUUAUUUCCGUCGUGGGGCUUGGGACACCACUCCUGGUACUUUCUCCUCCUCCUCCUCAGAGAAGAGUGGGCCCACCAGGAGCUUCCAGCCCCCCAGAGCUGUUCAGGAGGGAGGGCCAGGCCUAACUCUCCUGAGAAGAUUCAGUGAAAUCACUUCGUAAACUGGAAGGCGCAAUGCAAAUGUGAGCAAUCACUCACGGUUCAGCCACUAUUUAUUGGGUCCUUCCUCACGAGAUGCCCUCAGUGGGAGACAGAACUAAGGGAAAAAAAGAGGCCUCCACUAAGCUUGCCACCGCCUAGCAAGCCAUGCAUUUUGUGAGGCCCCCCGGUGUUUGAAGAGCAGAACCUGGGUCCCGUGUGUUCACCAGCAAAAGCAAGCAGGGAGGAAGAGAAAAGACAAUUUGUGAAGAAGCUUCUAGUAUAACUUGCGAGGCAGCCACAGGGCAGGCAGCUCAGGCUUUGGCAGGAACUAUUGGAAAGGAUCCCACCCAACCAAUUCUGGUAACUGUCCAGCUAGCUCUUGUCCUCCCAUCCAGACCUGGAGCGGCAGGGCCACCACCUGGCAGUGGGCCUCGCUGACCUGGCUCGGGCGACC